CUGCAAGCCGUCCGUGCGCAGCGGGUCGUCGGACCCGGCCGCCGACCCAUCGAAAGAGUGCUGCGCGGCGCUGGCGGGGGCCGACCUGCCGUGCCUCUGCUCGUACCGCCACUCCUUCCUGCUCCCGUCCUUGGGCAUCGACCCCGACCUCGCCCUGCAGCUCCCCGCCAAGUGCAACCUCACCGCGACCCCCGGCUGCUGACUAUACAUAUUUUGCAGGGACGACUCAUCAUAUCUCUAUCUCCUCUCCUCACGGUCAGACCGUCAAAUUUACUAUCCAUCACAUACAGUGCUCGAAUCUCAAAGUAGUAUCUCCGCUCCUCACGG
rnacentral:lncRNA from 1 species